rnacentral:lncRNA from 1 species
UGGGAGCGCACGAGGCGCUGCGCCGCGCCGCUCUCCGUCGGUUCCCCCUGCAGGUCUGGCGCUGCGCUCAGCCUACCUGUUACUGCUGCGCCCGGAUCUCGUCUCCUUAUUGAAGUCCCUCUUAACUUCUCAUCGGAGAAGUAAGUUCGCUUUUUAUCAGAAUGCGGCUACUCUUUGCUCCGUUUGAAACUCUUGAAGUGCUUAUCUAAUUUCUUUGUAGUCACUGGUAAUUGUUGACUUUAUUUUUUUUCCCCUUCGACUAAGUAAAGAAAAAUGACUUAAAUGGUGUUUUAAUAAGUUUGAUUGUUAAGCAGCUGCCAAUAGCAACCCUUAUUUCUCUAACAGCCAUGGCGUUUGUUGGCUUGAGUUUUCUGUAUGCACACAUAUGUACCUUUGUGUAUACAUUUGUAUAUCAUAGAAUGGUUGGAGUUGGAAGGGACCCCCAAAGGCCGUCUGUUCCCCCUGCCUGCAGAGCACAGGGACACCCACAGCUCCAGCAGUGCUCACAGCCCCAUCCCCUGACCGUGGCUGUCUGCAGGGAUGGGGCACCACCACCUCUCUGGGCACCCUGUGCACUGCCUCACCGCCCUCAGUGUGAACAACUUCUUCCUUAUAUCCAAUCUAAAUCUCCUCUCUUUUCAUUAGGAACCAUUUCCCGUUGUACCAUCACAACUGACCCUCCUAAAGAGUGUCUCCUGUCUCCAUAGACGUGUUCCAAGAAAAUUCUAGUGCCUCAUAAGCUCUAAAAACGACGAGUAAAGCUCUAAAGCCACACAAAGCAAUUCUCAAAAUAAGACUUUUUUUUUUCUUUUAAAGUAAAGAAUACCAGCUUUUGGUGCAUGUUCUUUCAAAGUUUCUGCUGGGAGGCUUUCUUGUAAAAAUUCACUUGCAGGCAAAAGAGUAGUGAGGACAAGCUGCUGGGGAGCAUUCUUGUUUAUUCUUCCAGAGGAAAAAAGGGAUGGAACAAUUAAUUUAUGUUUCUGACAUUGUUUAAAAGGUAAUGCUGGAAGGAGCUGAAACUGAUACUGACGUUCUCUGUCCUUCUGGUCCAUUGUCAAAUCAUUCAUGUUUCACUCAACACUGUGUAUCUAUGGGGAAAUCAAGAGCCUGACGUGUUGCUGUGUUAGUAUUAAGGACAGAACAGAUGCCGUCCAUUGAUGGUGUACCUGGGGCUCUGAGCACCUGAUGGAGCUGUGGGUGUCUCUGUGCACUGCAGGGAGUGGGACUGGAUGCCUUUGGGGGGGUCCCUUCCAAUCAAACCAUUCUAUGAUGAUUCUGUGAUGAUGAUUUUCUUGCUGUGGCUUUUCACCAAGACUGUGUAUUUAUGAACCCAUACGAAUAUGUUGGUUUGGGUCAUCAUUUAAAGAUCACUGUGAAAUUUAGCAAGGGAUUUUGCAGCUGGUGACCCUAGGAACACUUCAGCAGUGGCCAGUGUUGCUUCCAUCAGUUCAAUGGGCUUCUCUUGGCCCCAGUCGUUUUGUCAGUGCACACAGCUCUUUCAGAAUUAAAAUGCGUUUUUCAUUAAAGUGAAAUAUUAGAAAUUCUUGAAAAUCAGCCACGCAUUAGAGAAUGAAUCAAAGGAACUGUGGUUUGGGGACUGUACAAAGACUUACUUUUGUUUAUGUUAAUAGCAUCAAUUACUCAUUAGUGUUGAAAGUCUCCGAACAACAAUAACAACAAAAAACAACUUAAGAAACAAUGAACUUUCAGCUUUUGAUGGGUCAUCCAUUCAGUCUCCGGCUGGUUGUUGGUCAGAUUCCUAUCCAGCAGUGGUAUGCUAUUACAUUGUUUCUCAUGUUGUGAUGACCAAGACUUCUUAGGGUCAAGUGUCUACCAGAAUAACUCUUCAGAGAGAUGAAAUGUUCCUAUGCGUUCUUUAAUGUGGACACAGUUUGUAUUCAGCAAACUCAUCCCCAGGUUGCUGUGUCAGCUGCCCUCAUGCUGCUCCAAGGUCUGACUGCCCUGGUGGUAUUGGCAUGCUGGCAUAGUGUGCUUCCUGGGGCUGUGCCCUGGUGCUAGGAUGGCUGAGAUGUGAGUAGCAGUGUCUCUUUUGCUUGGAGAGGGAUUAUAUACCUUAAUUCUAUUUGUACUGGGCAAGCCUCAUAGAAUGAUAGAAUUGUUUGAGCCAGAAGGGACCCCUGAAGGCCAUCUGUUCACACUGCCUGCAGUGCACAGGGACACCCACAGCUCCAUCAGCGCUCACAGCCCCAUCCCCUGACAGUGGGUGUCCCCAGGGAUGGGGCACCACCACCUCUCUGGACACCCUGUGCACUGCCUCACUUCCUUCAUUACAAAAACUUCUUCCUUAUAUCCAAUCUAAAUCUCCCAUCUUUAAGUUUGAAACCAUUUCCACUUGGAGGUGCCCAAAGCCAGCCUGGAUGUGGCCCUGGGCAGCCUGAUCUGGGUUGCCAGUUGUAGGGGAACUGUUAGGUCAGGGCUCGUAGUGGUGAUGGAGCACCUGGUGAAGGGGCACAUUGUUUGCACCUGUGCUCCACACAUGAGCAGAAGGGGCGGACCCAGGGUGGAGCCUCCCUGGGCUCAUAUAAGGGCAGGUACUGAGGGGAGAGCAUCUCCUGGGCUUGGGCUACUUCUGAAGAUGGGGUGCUGUAUGGCCAGAGAACCCACUCAUGAGCUGGGUGAGUUUAGGUUUUCUUUCUAUAUCAGACUGUUGAGCUACCUGUGGUGCAUAGUUUGCCCAGUAUCACUGAGAGCCUGAUGGAGGUGAUUUUGCUUUUUUGUGACCUGAGCACCAAUAUAGGCUAUUUUUAAGAGGAACACUGGGGGUAAGGGUUUUGGAAUAUUAUUCUUGGUUUUGCUUGUGUGGUAGAAGUUCAGGUUUUGAUGGUUUUGUUUCUGCUUGGAAGCUUCAGGAGGAAAAUAAUGAACUCUGUGUAGCCACUGAACAGAAGUGACGUGUGGGUUAUGCAAUGAUCUCCAGUUCUGUAUACUUUCUGUGCUCAAGAGGUAAUACUGGGGGGAGAGUGAGCAUAGUGGGCUUCUUAUUUUCUUCAUUGAAAGCUUUGGGAAGGAGAAUUUGCACACUUCAACUCCUUGCAGCUGUUUCUUGUAGCAAUGCCCUUGCCUGUGUUUUCAUCUUCAUGCUGUCCCAGAAGAUGGGGAAGCUUAGAAUUGGACUGCAGCACCAUGUGAAUGUGUGCCCUCCUUCAGCCUGCCUCCCACCCCUUAUUUACUUGAGUAACUUUGAAUCUUUCCUCUGUUUUCCCAAAAAGCAAAAAUAGCUAAAUUGUCAGGUAGGCUUUGCGCUCUGAAGUACUGGCAGAGUUUCUAAGAGAGCUGAGAGCAGCAACUGGAAAUAACUGUGUGGAUAUGGAGAUGUCUGGCAGUAAUCAGAGGAGGCUGAGUCAAGGGAGCGUUUGUGUCCCUUGAGAGUAGAAAACUUCUCAUUUUAUUUGAUGCUGUUGCUUUGUGAGCAGGCAGGUUGAGUUUCUUCUUGUGCCUGAAGGCCAUUCAAACUCAGGAAGUGGAAUUAUUUGUGGCAUUGAGUCACCAUUUUGGAUGUUUUCUUGUCUAGUUACUCUUGUAGACAAUGAAGACACCUGUGACUGGUUUUCUGUCACUUCCCAUACCUUAAAUGUAGUGCUCAGACUUCCAGUAAUGGUCUGAAGGACAUGGGGGUGAUAUAUUUCUCUGGUAAAACUGAAUUCCUGGUACCUGGUUUUGGCCUGCAUUGGCAUUAUGCUCUCAGAAUGCAGUGUUCUGGUGCUGAGGAGACACUGAAAUGUGGUACUCUGUGGGUGCUGAGGAUGGGAUGAGGGGGGAAGGCUGAGUGCUUCCUGUGUGGGUCCAUUCUGAUACACAGGUGGAAGACCUGGAACCCGUUUGCUCUGUCUUGCGUGGAGACUGCCUGAGUGCUAUGCUGUACUGCUACCUGUUUGCUUCUAUGCUGUGAGAGGGAGGGAUUUUUUUCUGCUAAUGAAAUGAGUAGCUACAGAUGUUGGGAGCACGUGUAGAAGGCAGCCCAUCAAAGUGUUUUACCUGGGUUGUUCAUGCUCUUGUGCUUUUGUCUUGACCCUGUGAGCUCUAGUCUAGUUAUGUCAAUACUUACUUUGUAGGAGGUUGGCUGUUAUUCUGGGCUUCUGAACACAGUAUUAUAAAUAAGGAUCUUUCACUUCAAUAUUUCAGUAUCCAAGCUGCCUCUGGAAUGGCAGUGGAAGCACAGGCUACCCAGAGCUGUGGGUGCCCCAUCCCUGGAGGUGCCCAAGGCCAUGGAUGGGCCCUGGGCAGCUGGACUGGGGGCAGCCAGCAUAUGGCAGGGUGGGGCUGGGGGGUCUCUGAGGUCCCCUCCAACCUCAGCCAUUCUGUGAUACUUGGUAACUCCUGUGCUAGCUACCUGUUGGUAGCUCUGAGAAUCCUACCUGUGCAACAUCCCAUUAAGGUAUCCUGUGGUGCUGUAAGAGAAUGGGGGGGUGUGUGUGUGGAGAUAGUUCUGGAACAGGACACUGGGCUGCUUAAACUCUGUGAGCACACUGUUUGCCUUGCAUCAAAUGACUUGCUGUGUCUGUCAUCUCUUGUUCAUCUUCUCCACAUGGUAUAAACCUGAAAUUAAUGCAGAGUUUUAGGGGCUGGUAACUUAAAAGCUGUAGGCCUGCAGUACAUGAGGCCUUAGAGCAUGAAGGCACCUGUGUAAACUGCUUCUAAAAGGAUCUAAGGCAAUAGUAAAUACAUGUUUCUAGGUGUUACUACAGGGGUACAAAUUUCAAUGAGGAGUUGCUGUUUCAAGAGUAAACUCCAGUGUCUGUUGUAUGGUCUGUGAGCAGUACUGGAUGGACUCCUACCAGAGCCAUGACAGCACUCAAGGCUGAGGCUGUCCCUUGAGGACAAGGCAGGAGACACGGCAUGAGACAGAUGAGGUAAAAAGGUAUCUAAGUAUGGAAGAAAAGGUGUAACAGCAAAAAACACUGAUGUGUCCAUAGAAGAAUGAGAAUAGAGGUGGCUAAGGAAGUAAGCCUACAAGUCUAGGUCUUGAAUUGAGGCCAGCUAGUGCAAGUUUUGUUUGCUUCCCCACUUUAUCCCUUACUUUUUAUCUGUAGAAAGUCAUCUGUGGCCGUUCAUAACUUUUUCACGUAGUUUAGUGAAAGAUUUCUACAGACUUAAGGCUUGCAACUGCAUCUACCUUUACCCUUAGCAGAAUGCUGCCUGUUGCCUUUCAGGUACUCCUGUUGCUCCAUCAGGAGAUGGCACUGGGAAAAUCCCAGAGGAGAGACUCAAACUGUUAAACUUGGAGCUGUUUGGAGAAGUUUUUCAUUUAUAUGUACUUACGUUAAGACUGGAUCUAUGUGAAUAUAAUGGUUUAGAUAUAAUUACAGUCUGCUUUGCAGUGUUACCAGCGCUUGUGGCCAGCUGUGCCCCACGGAUAGGACUGGCACACACUCACCCUGAGCACGCUGCUGGUGGAUGUGAUUAUGGGAUGGGGUCACUUUGUUUAAUUGCUUUGUUCAUGAAGGGCUUCUGAAAUGGCUCUGGGUGAAGCAGGUAGAGGUCACGAUUUGGUGUGGCAGAACUUGAUAAGAACAGAAUGUAGGCAGCUUUGCUCGAAGCGGAUCUUAUAGGAAAGUCUUGAGUAGUUGUAUAAAACCAUUGAUUAGCAUACAUAGUAAUUUUCUUCCAGUUUAUACCAUCUUGUGGUGGAGCAUGUAUUUAAAAAUGCUCCCUUUUUUAUUACAGUCCUCCAGUCCUUGUUUUGGCGUUUCAAAGUGAGGCCCUUCUGGACCAAAAUAACUUCCACAAGCAUAGUUUUUCAAAGUGUGAAUGCUUUCAAGAGGCCAGCAUCUUCUUGGUUAAGGAGAGGUGACAUCUGGAGGCAGCAAUCUCUCGUAUCCUCUGUGUGGGAGUUCUUUACCCAGCUAUGGAAGCAGUGCAUGUAUUUGCAUUAAUACUUAAUACAUUAAAAGCGCUCCCUUUAGGAGGUGUUAAUAUUUAACUCGAACAUACUAUCUCUUCUCUUGGACAUCUAUACUUUACUAUGCAAGUGUGGUCAGAUCGGAGGUGGUUGUGCCUGUGUAUGGAGACAGAAUGAAUGCAGGUUGAGCGUUUGGCCUUGUUUCUUGUGCUUCCUGACUUGAAGGGAGAGCCCUUCACAUUAAAGAAGAUUGGCAAAGGAAGAAGAGAUUAAUUUUAAACACAGACAUGUUUUGAAAUUGCUACAACAACGUGAGAUUAAAAAAAGAAAGAAUACAUUUUUCUUGUCUAUUUGACACUUGAACCAGACAUGACCAGGAAAGUGAUUUCUUUUUUAUAUCCAGUAGAGGCCAUCAAAAUCUGUACUUUACUGCGCUCACACCACUGGUGGGGCUCUGUUUAUGUUGGGAUUGAGUAGCGAUGCUCAGAAAAAAAGGGUUGUAGUGCCUUGGAGUGUCUCUUCACAGUGAUGAGCUGCUAUCAUUCUUUAUUUCCUUUUCAUGCUUCUUUAAAAGACUUCUGUUGUUGCAUUUGGCUUUAAGAUGAAAAACCAGUUUACAAAGGUUGAUUAGGUGCCUGUUAUGUUCCAGACACAAGUACGCCCUUAAAUAUGCAGCUUAAUAUAUGCAGACUCUCUAGGCUUCCCAGACGCAUGUUGCUCUGUACACUGAUGUAAAGAUUUUCAUUGUUUUCUAAUGCUGCUGGCAGCUUAAUCUUUCUGUUUGUUUUCUGGAGCUUCAGCUGUUCUAUUAUUUGGCAUCAUCAUCAGUAAUCGAGCAAGCUGAAGCCUCGGUGAGGAGGUGAGGAACUAAGGGACAUAUUUGAGAGUCAGCAGUCAUGGUUGGAGUGCAACUGUUUAAUUAGCUGUACAGGCACGAAUGUUGCAAGUAUGUGCCUCCUGCUGUGAAUUUAUUGCAUGUGCUUGGUAAGCAACUUUCAAAUGCUUCUGAUUGUAGUGUUUGAAGAAAAAUGGCUUUUAAUUCAGGAAAGACCCUGGUUUGCAUCACUUCUGCCAACAUCUGUUUGCCUAAUUGGAGCCUUUUGAUGCUUAACUGCUGGAAAAAAAGAAAGUAGUUUUGGGUGGGAGAAAUCCUUCUCUAUUUCUCACUCUGCCUCCCCCCAGCUCAGAAGAGCUGCUGACCUAACUUCUCAGCGAGUUCACCCUUGGAACUGAAAGCUUCCAACCUUACAUGAAGCAAAGCGUGCAUUUGGAGGAGUGACUUGGAGUUACAGGACCUGUUCUGUUUGUACACAAAUGGGUCAAUUCUCUUAAGUCUGCAGUUAGUGGGGAAGGAUCUAUUUUAAAGGCUGUGACUUAUUUUCUGCAGAGACUGUUCUUGAAGGCUUAUAGGCUUCUCUUAUUUGAACCUGGCUGCAUGGUGGCAGCUGCAAUUCAGCCCUGAUAGGUUUUACCAAAACAAUAAUAAUGGAAUCUGUAUUUCCUAGGUAAAAUAUUAUCCAUGUAAUGUGCCAGUUAUGCAGAGUAGUGCUCUGUUCUUUUCCCACUGAAGGUUUACUUCUCUUUGCUGGCUUUAGAGGUUAGGAUGCUCAGUGUAGGUCUCUUUAAUGGUCUUUUUAAAGACUGAUUGGCAGUUCUCUUAGGGAAGUGUCUGAGGUGUGUAGAUGGUGUGUGUGCUGUAAUGUGAAAACAACAUAGGUGUGCAUCCCAGUGUUGCAUUUUACAAGGGUCCAGCUUACCCUCUCUUACUUGUUUUGUACCUUCUUAGCAUCUUUAGAGGGCUUCUGUCCUUCAUGCUCUGAUAAAGGGGAGAUGGAUGCCAAGCUGACAGGCAUCCUGCAUGGCGUGUAGCAAGGCUGAGGUGAACUUGUGAAGCAGAGCCAGGCAGUGCUGGUGAGUUCAGUACUUAGUAGGAGCCAAGGGUUAGAGAGCUGUUUUUACUCAGAGGCAUGGUAUCCCCAGCCUGCUAGUUGGCAGCGCUCUGCCUGUUUUGAAGAUAAUAUCUUUUCAUCCCUGAACUACAUUGAAAAGACACUGUGGAGUAGCUAACACAGGAAGAUUCUCAAGCUGUGAUCUUACUUGUCUUCUGCUAUUUGAGAAAGCUGUGUUGCCAGAGCUCCUCCUUCCUCACCACAGUUUUUUUUCAGUGUAUCUUUCAAUGUUUUGAUAUUGGGAGUUUACAGAUUUCUGUAGUAAAAUGACAGGACUGCUGUGGCACACUGGGAUAAACUCAACCAUCUAUAUUUUGUGUAUAUUCAGUUGCCUCUGGGAGCUGUCUCCCUAAAUAAAAGAAGUUAAAGAUAGGGCUUUCCUUUCAUCUAUCCCUCUUGUCAUCUUCAGACAGCAAUGGGAAGGUUCAGAAGUCUUAAUCUUUCAGACAGCUUCAACAUUAAGCAUUGAUCUCUGAUGUGGAACAGUCAGCCAAUAUGUUUGCUCGUGUGUGUGUGUGAUGCAUGCGGGAUGAUUAAAUUGAGGUUGCACGAGGAUGAAGCAAGGAAAAUCUGUUUUUAAAACUAUGCAAGUGGCUUCUUUUUCCACAUCUUGGGUAGAAGUGUGCCUGCAGCCUAGAGAGACACUUCAGCUGUGCAUGCAACGUGGGAAGGAGCUACUGUCCUUGUCAGGUCUGAAGUGUCCUGAAAGAGUUAAGCUCUAAUUAGCUCACUCAUAAGGUAUUUAAUAUCCUUAUUAAACUCAACUGCUGGUUUACUUUUUUUUGUUAUGGUGAAUAAAAUUUCUUGAAGAGCUGAGCCUCUGCUUCUCAGAUCAGAGGCUCACAUGUUGAAGCUGGCAGUGCUAGAGGCUAGUUCCUAUCUGUGUGACAGCAUUUUUAAUUUAACAGGACCGGCUUUGAUGUGCUCGAAUAUUUAUAGGAAGCUUCAGAUCACUGCAGUAUAUGUUCUUUUUAACUGGAGCAGAAGUUCCUCCUCGUACAACAAACUUUGAUUCUCUCUGUUUACUCUUGGGUCCCUUUUGGAUUUGCAGUUGUCUGAGAGGUUUUGUGUUACAAAAAUACAGUUUGAGUGGGGGAGGAGCUGCUUGAUUUCCCUUCUAGUUUGUGCAGUUUGGGGGGUCGUCUGGUUACUGCAUGGUAGCUCCUUGUUUCAGCCCAAAUACAGGUAGUGACAUUGUGGGAGAGACUGGUACAGUGAAAUGGAACUUGAGCAAAAUGCAGUUAUCGUGCAACGUUCUCCCAUCAUCUCUGGGAGCUCUCCUGUGUCUGCAGGGUCUCAGACCUGAGAUGCCCUCAAGUCAGAGGGCACUCAGGAAGAUGUGCUCAUGUCCCAGAGAAUUGCAGAAUGGUUGAGAUUGGAGGGGACCUUACAGAUCCCCACCCUGCCAUGUGCUGGCUGCCCCCAGCUCAGCUGCCCAGGGCCCAUCCAUGGCCUCGGGCACCUCCAGGGAUGGGGCACCCACAGCUCUGGGCAGCACUGCCAGGGCCUCAGUGCCCUCUGAGUGAGCAAUUGCUUCCUCACAUCCAACCUCAGUUCCCUUCUUUUAGUUUAAAGCCAUUCCCUUGUGUCCUUUUACUAUCUGACUGAGUAAAAAGUUGCUCCUCUCCUGCUUGUAAGCGCCCUGCAAGUACUGGAAGGCUGCAUUGAGGUUUCCCUGGGGCCUUUUCUUCUGCAGGCUGAACAGCCCAGCUCCCUCAGCCUCUCUGCACAGGAGAGGUGCUCCAGCCCUUUGAUCAUCUUCAUGGCCCUCUGGACCUACUCCAACAGAAAUAAGAGUAAGAGCUUUCAAGUCACUUUGUGGCUUAAAGAGGAACUGAAAAUUUGAGGUUAAGCUCUCAGUGGGAGCUGAUCAGAAAUUAUGGGGGGAAAGAAAAGAAGUUUUAGGUGGAAUUUGCCUUUUUUUUUUUCAGAACUAUUCCACUCAGAUGGUUUGGCUUACGUGGAACUCUGUUCAUACUCGGGCAGAAAUCCUAAUAUAAGAGUACCCAGUGGGUCAACUAUCAGCUAAGAGUUUUCUCACCUUUCUUUGCCUGGGCAGCUUACCAGGCAUGCUGUCUCUGACCUGGAGCCCUUCCAGUGCCAGGAGGUGGGCUCUGUCAGAGCUGGCACUGCAGGCCCUUUCAAAAACAGUAAUGUGGAGCUUUUUUGCCACUUUCACUAGUUUUGGUAUCUUAGAAAGGCAUGAUUGUGGUUGGAAUCUUUCCCUUGAUUGUGCCAGAAGAGGAAGUGUUUAUGUCAUAUGAAAGUGUUUCUCAGGCUAGCUAUUCCAGUAAACUACUUUCCUUUUUUUUUCCUGCUGUAUUUCUGUUCUUUCUACUUCAUCUUAACUUUCUGUUGUGGAUCUCUUGUGGACUGCUUUAUCAUUCUUACCCCUUCCAGAGAAAGCCUUAUCAUGGUCAACUGGGACAUGGAAUCAUAGAAUAGAAUCACAGAAUUAUAGAGUAUCCUGAGCUGGAAGGGAAAGCAAAAGUGUUUUAUUUCCUAGAGUUUUCCAUGUGGAUGCCAGCAGUUGAGGCAGAUCUCUCUAGUUUGCUCUGCUUUGUUGGUUUUUUUUGCAAAGUUCUGUAUGUUUCAUGUCAUAAGGCCAUGUAAUUGUAACUUUUUCCAUUAUGCUGAAUUGGGACCUCAGUUAUCCAAGCAGAAGAUUUCUCAUGUAAAAAUUCAGCCUAAUGGUAACUUAUGCAUGUUUAAUGCAUGUCCUACACUGAAAGAUGUUUGUGAAUGUAGACGUACCUGCUGUUGAUGCUCUUUGUUGGUACUACCUAUUCCAGUUCAGCAAUUGAUUUCAAUUAUGUCACUGUCUGCAUAGCUAAAUAGUGACAGGGAGUGACUGCAGAAGUGAUUGGUUGAUCAGACCCAGUGCAUUUAUGCCUAUUUGAUGCAUAGCUUGUUCAGAGUAAUGCUUCUCUUAUUAGGGCAAUUCUGCAGGGUAUUAGGGACCUGCAACUUAACGUAGAGCUUCUAAAAUACACCAACAAACAGAACCAUGCUAGAAGAUCUUGGUACUGCUUCUAGUAGAAAAAACAAGCCUGCUUAUAGAAUCUAAACCUACAGAAAAUCAGUAUGAUUCCAAGAGAAGAGCUGAUUAGAAUGUGAAGCAGCUGUGUAGUGUCUUCAGGAAGCCAGUGGUGUUCACUUUCUGCUAAAGCUGCUGUGAAGUCAUCUAAACUGAUCAUCUAAACAAGCUGAAAUACAUUUUGGUGCUUGUGUUGGUGAAUGGAUGCGACCAUGACUUCAUGUUUUUCCUACAGCAUCCUUGUGAGACAGGAGAAAUUUGGGAGUACCAAAACAUUCAAUGCUUUUGCCUCUGAGAAGGGCUUUUCUAAAGAUGGCCUAUCCAUUUUAGGUUGGUAGUUUUGUUUUGUAGAACAAAAGCUGUAAUAGGAAGCUGACACUGAUGAGGCUGUUUUGGUGAGGUUUCCCUCUUGCCUCUAGCAUUUGGAGUUAUUGUAGUCAAAAGGAAUUACAGAAUUCAAAGGGAACAAAGUGCAACCUGUGUAUGGCACCUGUGCAACUUGUUGCAGUUAGUCAAAUGUUUUCUCACUGUUAGUGUUCUGUGGCUGAGACAAAUAUCUCCUCAUCCUUGUCCAGGGGCUGCUGUUCCCUCCUUGUGGCUGAGGAACCUUGCCUGAAGUCAUCUAGACCGAGGAGCAGCUGCUGAAAGGGCCCAGAUGCUCUUAGGGCUUCUGACACAUGAUGUCCCAUGAUACAAAGGAUGGGAGAAAGAAUGGGAUUCUCUAUUUGAGUCUUUUUCCUUGCUCCUUUCCUGCCUUUCUCAAGUGAUUUGAGAUCAUAUCAAGUGUUCAAGGGCUGGAUGGACUGAAGUAUGUUCUGUAGAGGAGUGUUGUGAAUGUGACCACAAUGUCUCAGCAUGCAGCUUUCAUGGUAAAGAAGUUCUGUCAGGGAAGGAUUAUUGCAGAGCUUGUAGUAGAGACCUUGGUCCUGUCAGCAUCCAUACUUAUUGGCACAAAUGAGAACUGUGUUUUUAUUGUUCAAUUGUUUCUCCAGCUUCCAACUCUGCAUCCCCAGUGAAUAUAUUUUUUUCAGUGAUGUUUUAUGGUCUGAAGUCAUUGAUAAACACAUGCAGGCAGUGGCUGGAGCCAUUGUGGCUGAGCCAUUGAGUCUACAGCUUUAUAGUCUUCUCAGGUUACUCGGAUGGUUGUACUCUUUUAAGUGAGCUAAACAGCAUGUGCUGCACUUGACAAAUGUUACUCAACCUAUGUUUAGAGAAGGAAUGGACUUUGGAAAAUUUUUCAGCUUUGGAAGGGGUUACUUCCAUCUGAAGGAUAUUGAGCAUCUCCUAUGAUUAGAGAAAAAAAUUGUUUGGAAAGCAUGUUUGCAUAUAGAAAGCUUUUUCCUGUAAUUUAAAUACAUUAAAAUUUAAACUGCUUUUAAAGCAAGAUCGUAUCAAGCUUUUGACCCCCUUGCAUUUGAUCUGCUCUGCUUAAACUAUUCACGUUUAGUAUGAUUAUUCAUUUGUAUAGUUUCAUUUUUGCAUAAUGAUUCUCUCAUCAUGUGCAGGUCAACAGGCUAUCAGAUAUUUGCUGUCUUGGUAUUUUCUGAUGUGUUGCCUUAGGGAUGAACAGAUGAGUAUAUAAAUUAAAUCAAACUAAAAGAUUGGGCAUAAGGAAGAAGUCUUUACGCUGGGGGCAAUGAGGCACUGCACAGGGUGCCCAGAGAGGUGGUGGUGCCCCAUCCCUGCAGACAGCCACGGUCAGGGAUGGGGCUGUGAGCACUGCUGGAGCUGUGGGUGUCCCUGUGCACUGCAGGCAGUGGGAACAGACAGCCUUUGGGGGUCCCUUCUGACUCCAACCAUUCUACGAUGCUCUUUUACCCCCUAUGUGAGGAGAGAAUGACAAUGCCUAUUUAUUUGGGUCACAUCUCAGAAAUACUUAUGCCAGCACUAAAGUGUAUAGUUGCUCUGUGGAGACCUAGAAUUAUGAUGUUUUGAAAUGCUAUGGGUUGUGACUGGUGGUGGAGACCCUACUGUUGUCAAACAAUUAUAAGCAGGCUUUGCAGACACUGUAUUGCUCUCACUGUGCUUCAUGUUAGGAGGAAGUAGCAGCAGCAUACAUUUAAACCAGUCCUAUUGCCAAGACAAUUUUUGUAAAUCAAGUAUAAAUUGGUUUCUGUCCUUAAAUUAGAAUAUUAGAAUCACAAAAUGGUUAGGAGGAUGUUGAAGAUCCCAGUUCCAACCCACCUGCCAUGGGAAGGGACACCUCCCACUAGACCACGCUGACCCCCAAGGCCUUGAGCACCUCCAGGGAUGGGACAUCCACAACUUCUCAGGGCAGCCUGUUCCCAUGCCUUGCCACCCUCAGCUCCAGCUGGUCUCCUUGAAUGGGAAUUGGUGAAGCUAGGAUGGCAUUGCUCCCUCUGUGAGCAGUAUGACAUACUGUUGCUAAUAAGGAUAUUGGUAGUGAAUAACUUUCUAGAUAAAGAUCUCUUUUGGACUAGGUUAUGCUGCCUGAGCAGCUGAAGUAUAUAUUUUAGCAGUUGUAUGGCCCAAGUGCUGCUGGAUCUUGAAAUCCAGUGAUUGUAAAGAUAUUCCAGAUAAAAUAGUACAUUCUUCAAAGCAAAACACAAACCAAAGUAGUACAUACUGGAGAUGAAUGCUGAUCAGUGUCCUAAGGCAGAAUUCUGAUGUGGGUAGUUUCCUAGGGAAGGUUGAGGAUAAAUAGUACAGAUCCUUUAUCUGCAUUAAGGGAAGGGUUUAGUGAAGGAAACUUCACUUUUUAAAUAGCAUUCUUGUCAGAAAAUGAGGCUCAUUAGAAUAAAGAGAAGAAUGAACUUAAAGGCCCUAAAGCAGUCACUGGGUGUAGAUCUGAACAGUUGGAGAAUACGCUGUAGCACUUUCUGUCCUCAGAGGCUUCUCUGCUCCAAGGAAAAGCCUGGGAGCUGUAUGAAAGAGGAAUUUAAUCUUGGUGUCGGCACAGUAAUGUGGCGUGUCCAUGCCCAAAUGCAGUUCUCCAUUUCUCAGUGCAGAGUAACGUAGAUAUCUUUCAAACCAAGCAACAUGUGAAUUCGUAUAACACCACAAACUCUGCUUGAGGGAGGGGGGAAUGUUUUAUUUACAUAAGCAAAAUGAGGCCAGUGCUAGAAGAAUGUAAUAAUUGGAGAAAAUCUCUAGAAAUGAAGUCACAUUUGCAUAAAUGUGGUGGAAGCUGGGGGUGACUGGUAGCAGUGAGCUAGGGGGCUUAUUGGAAGAGGAACAGAAUGGGUCAGAACUAAGCCCUAUGCUCUGCUUUGUUAUGGGUGAGUGUAUGCUGCCUAUUUAAAAGGAGUCAUAGAAUGGUUUGAGUUGGAAGGGACCCCUGUAGGAUUGUCUGGUCUCCCUGCCUGCAGUGCAUAGGGAUGCCCACAGCUCUAUCAGUGCUCACAGCCCUGAAGUAUGCCAUCAAUGAACUGCCUCUGUUCUGUCCUGAACACCAAUGCCUAUCACAGUGGAACAUCAUCUUGUGAUGGAUAAGGUUUGAGGAAUGGAAACAAAGCAAUAACGGUAUAGAAUGCUGAGGAAAUGGAGAUGAUAGGCUUGUAGUAGUGAUUAGUAUAUGGGGAAUAAGAAAUCGGAGGUGGCCUUCUGCAGCAGAGCUGUGCCUUGGCGGCUUCUUCUGAGCCUUGUUUGGUACUCUGAGUUAACAUCAGGUAAGAGAUGGAGCUGUUGGUGCUCUUGAAAAGCUCUCUGAACUUGCGUGCGUUGUUUCUGAUCAGCUUUCUACACAGGUCAGCAAACACUAUCUCUUCAAACUUAUCCUUAAUUUUUGCCUUUCUAAAAGGGUUAUUAGAGUGUGUCUGGGUGAGGAACAGCAAACCUGACACGAGAGCAGUAUGCAGGGCUGAAUUCUGUCAUAUGAGCCAAGAACAUGACUUCCUAAAUAAAGGUUCUGCCCAUAUGUGUGUGUUACACUGUCUGUUUGGAUUGUGGGAGUAUUGCAGCCUUAGGUUUCUUCUGAUUGUGACAUGGUGUGAAAAUAAAGCUUACAUUAAUAAAUCAAAACUAAAUCCCUCCAGAUGACUUGUCUGGCCAUCUGCACUGGUGUGGGAGAACUGGAGAAGAUGGAAAUUUGGACUAUUUGAAUAAUCUGCUUCUAAAAUACACUUAAAAGUGAACUAUAAAAAGGAAAAGAGCCCAUGUUGGAUGGCUUUCUCGAAUGGAUCUGUGGUGGAUGUCUUUGCCUUAACUUAAAUAGAAAAACCAUUAGAGUUGUGUUGUGCAGUAAUAAUUAUAGAGUAGUGGAUGCUAUGAUGUGUGAAGGGAUGUUCUCAUCCAGCACUUAUGUUUGCAGGGUGGAUAAAUAGUGGGUUUCUGCCUCUCUUCCUUCAGAGCCACAGUGUUGAAUAUUCAUCAAACUUGUGUAGAUGAUCUGAAAUAAGAUUUGUCUCUGUAUGAUGGCAGUCUGUAUCAUUCCCCACUGAGUGAGUAGGCAACUUAAAUGGCUUAUUUCUCCUGUUGAUGACUUUCAGCACGUGUGGGUAUUCCUGUGUAGAGCAAUCUGUUUACUUGAGGGGAUCCAACUCUGGAUAUGAGGUGUAUGAGAGCAGAUGAGUAUAUCUGGGGAGCACCUUCAAGGAGUCAGGUGUCUUAUGCUUCAUUUAAACUCAUGGAUCUCCAGGAGGAUAUUUGCAAGUGUUUCCUGUGAUGAGUGGAGUAGAAAUCAGGAGAGGGAAAAAAAAUGAUAAACCUGUAGUUCAGAAUCCUUCGUAUAAUUGAUCUUUGUGUUUGAAGGGAGAAGCUCUGGUUUGUUUUGAAAGAAGGGUGUACCUGAUACAAGCUAAGUUGCCUUUGUUUUAUCUGGACAUAAGUGUGUAGUGAGAGAACCAAGGAGAGGAGAAAUUUCUUGCCUGUGAUGCUCCCUAAUGGUGUUUUUAGUGUUGUCUUAUUUCUGGUCCUUUGUUUUGGAGGAGGUCUUAAAGGCCACCAAAAUGAAAUGCCAAGGUGUUCUGGAACCUUGGUGCUCUUGCCAACCCUGCGCGUGUUGCUUGCAAAAUAACUACAGCUAUCCUUCAUGAUUAGUUCAUAGAUGGAGUAUUUGCAAUGUUCCAGUAUUUCAUGUACAGGUUGGAUUCACAACAAGCUGCACACAGACUAGAGUUGGUGCUCUUUUUUUAUAUUAAGUUACCUUGCAGUUAUUGAUUAAAACUAAUUAGUACUGCUUUGGAAAAUCAGUUUGGUGCCUUUCUUAAAGGUUUAAAGUCAAACCAAGGAGUCUGACAAAGAAUUAGAGCUGAGAUGAAGCAGAUCCAAAAGUUAGCUAUUUAGCAUGCAUGCCACAAAGUUACAGUGGGAUUGACUUCUUGCUCCAGUGUUGCAUAUAGAAGGGAUCUCCUGCGUACAUAAUCAUCAGUGCACCAGUCUGUUAGCAUAGACCUCUGCCUUCUGGUAGUUUUGUAGCAGAUAACAUAGGUUUAUAUGCUUAAAGUUUGUCAGCAAGUUUCAUUUUAUUGCGGAUCUUGCAAUGUGAAGUGUUUGACUUUCCUCUUCCCCAACCAGUUUGCCCAAACCAAGCUUCUGAAAUGGUAAUGUGAGCUUUUCAGCUGCUGCUUGGAUUGAAGACGUUUCUAGAAUGAAAUUGUUGGCCAAGUCAGAGCUUCAUUUUCCCACAACUAAGUAUUGAAGUGAUCUUUUAAAUCUCAAACUAUGACCUAAUGGCUUUUUGGGGACCCAGCUCAUCCUCUUCCCUGGGUAACCUGCACAGAACACUUUCCUCAGGGUGUUAUUCCUAUGUGCCCCCAUAGUAACUAAUCCAUUUGUAAAAGCUGUUGGUGUGAACUUCUUACUGCUUCCAGGUAAUGGUGAUCUCUUGUUAACCUGUCAAAUGGCUUUGAUUCUGUCCUAUUUGCUAGUUCAGCACUGGUGAGGCUUGGAGUGUGAGAAUCCCCUUUCAGCUCUGUGUUUGACAUUCAGCCUCAGACAUUACUGUGUGACAUCCACACUUCCUCUGGCUGAUGUUCUUCUGUAUCUGUCCUAGCCCCAAAUACUAGGAAUGCUCUUCAGCCAAUUUCAUAUUUGUGUAGAAUUGUCUGACAUGUAACUUUCCAACCCACAGUCAAGUAAGGAGGAGGUCUUACAGGCAGAAACUUCUAACCCUUACUUGUCAUAAAUGAAUUUGCAGCUUUUAUGCUAAUAUGCCUCUCAUUGUUUAUACCUUAGUGUGAGGGAGAAAUAGAAUGAUGAGAAGUACAGAACUGGCAGUUAAAUAACAAUGCUGCUUUGGCUUCAGGAAUUGCAACUGAUAUAUGCACGGCUGAAGUUUGAAGGCUAGCAUGUUUAUGAUAGACUUGGUCAUUGCAUUUGCUUAUUAAGAAUUCAGCAUGAGACCCCUUUCUUGCUGGACAGGUGGAAACAUCUGAAGAACUGUCUUCUCAUUUCCUCCCCUACUUCACAGUCAUUCUCUAUGUGCAAGAAUGGUGGAGCUGUGACUUUGCUCGACAUCAUGUGUAAGUCUUGAGUCUUUGCAUCAGGGUUUAGGAGCUUAACUCUUUGUCCUUUUCCCCUUGAAUCUCUCCAAUACCUUUUGAAAGAUCUUUCACUGCCAUACAGACUGUAAAUGCUAUGUUGCAUCAUAUAUAGAAUCCACUUGGAUUGUAACGUCAAACCUGUGGAUGGACCUGUGCGUAGCAUUUCAGUUGAUUUAAGGUGAAGUAUGCCCAACCAUAUGAUGAAAUAGGGGGAAAAGGGUGCUGUGAAGUAGAAGAGGAAACUGCUCAGCUGACAGCUAGUGAAUGCAGACCUGGAAUACAAAGCCAUACCUAUGCAGGAAAGGAUGUUUCUGGCAGAAACUCUGUAAUUCUAUACCUUUGUGAGGAACAAGAGUGGCAGUGUCUCACCUGCAGGCACACUCCACAGUGAAAAGGAGAGAGGCUGAAAAAUGGCUGCAUCACAUAUAUUUACCUCUGUAGCACUUGGCAAUAAGGAGUCAGAGGGGCUUUGACAAACUGAGAGCGAGUCCUUAGGUCUGAUGGUUAGAGGCUGUCUGUUUUCAGACUUUCCUUGUUCUACACCAAUUUAUCUGUUGUAGAGCUAGAGAUGUCUGUGCUUAGUAUGGAAACGUGGCUCAAGGUGUUCCUUGGCAAUUGUCUCUGCUUCUACCCACAGAGAGGGGAAUUUGAAGAUGUCCUCUGAAUUCAUAAGACAUGAGAACCUCCAUGGAGAGCAGUGCCUGCUCACCAUCUCUCCUCUGCAGUUGCCUGAACCAGAUCCUGAGGUGUUACAGAAGACUAGCACAGAAAUCAAGGAGACAGCUAAUGGGCUGAAUGUUUAAGAUUCUUAAUAGCUUUGGGAACAGCUUUCCUGACUUUGCUGCCAGUCAGAAAAUGUCGGUCUGGGACAAAGGCACUCAACUAUACUUCAUUCCUCAGCACACCCAAGGUGUGUACAGCUAAUGUGCACACACCCCUUGGUGUUUUAUUGCUUUCCACAUGUGUACCCCUGACUUCUCCAGCAAUUGUUCUGUCCUGCUCUUAAGAGCUUGGGAACUGGGCUCCAACACGGUGAGGCUGCUGUAAAGAAAGAGGGGUAAGGGAGACAUUGUUAUACCAUCAGGCAGAAGACAGUGUGGGAAGCUAACUGGUAUGCUCUCUAACUUAGACAAGUUCUGAACAACUAGUAAGAAUGUUUGUAGUACUCCUGGGGGUGAACAGCAUUGCAUCUGGGUGAUGAGAAACAAAUACUGUGUGCUGAUCACUACUCCACCUCAUCCAUGCAGGUGGUGCAGCCUCACAGUGCACCAGCAGGGCUUGUGCUAUAGCAUGGGGUUCUUGUGUCACCUUAAGAGGAAAGAUUUGUCUUCUGUAUAAAUAUGCAGCACAAUCCGAAUGAACUCCUUUACCACACCACAGCUAUGGGAAAAGCUAUGCUUUGGUUUGCCUGUAGCACUGUGCAGAUAUUCAAGUCAACCAAGCGCCAGAACAAAAAGCUGGGUAGAAUAGAAAUCUCACAGGAAGAGUGGUGUGGAUAUCCUCAUAAGCCAGAGUUUUGCAUGUAGUAGACAACCUCUGUUUCUUAACCAAACAAAAUCAGGUUUGGAUCUUGCAAAUCUUAAUAGGUUUUGCAGAUUCUUUAACUGAGAUGCAUGAAUGUAUGCACUAAUGUCAUGCAGAGCAAAGUGGCUUGUUUGAGACCAGAGUUUACUCAUCACCUAAUCUCAUGAAGAUGAGUCCCCCUCUGUGGGUCUGUGUGUGGAUGGAAGAGCAGUUCCAAGUGUUGGUAUGCUAAUGGCUGUGGACCACCUUGGCCUGAAUCAAUCAAAACCCAAGGGCUCACAAGUAGAGGGCUGUGAUACAACUGUGGUGUGUUCCACAUAGUGGGGAAAUAAUUGCAAAGCAUGGAAACUCAGACUUCAAGAGCAACCUCAAACACAAGAAAGCAUUCUACUGAUUGCAUCUUCCAUUAGGAGGACACUAGAUGAUGCUCCUCUUAUCUUUCCAGUUGCCUGGAUGCCUUUAUGGUGGGAAGCAGCUUUAAUAUUUUCUGCAGUUAUUUGAGGUUUCUUUGUAACAAAAGCCCACCCUCCUGCUUCUUGCUAUAAUGAAUGGGAAGCCAAGGGGUCAUUUCAUCUACUGGUAUUUGUACCAAAGUACUGAAUGUUGGGUCCUUGGAGGGUCCAAUCUGAGAGGGUAUUUGGGUAUUUAUAGCUGAUUGUAUACAUGAGUGGGAGUAAUGGUGUCUUGCAGCCAUUUAAGCUGAAUUCUGAUGUGUUAGAGAAACAAUCUCUGUAACUAUCAUACUUAAGUUUUUCUACUUCUCCUCAUCAAAGCAAGAAAGAGGAAAAAAUGAGAGGAAAAGUGACACACCAGUAGUUGCCAUUUGAGUUGUUAACCUAACACAUUAUAUUUUAGACUCCUGGUACCUCUUUCUUUUCUUUACACAUCCUCUACGGAGCAUGUAGCUUACUGGUUACUGAAGGGUUAAAUCAUCUUGCUUUUGGAAGCAGCUGGGCAGUUUACACUCCUUGCUGGGCUGUACAAAAAUACUUUUCCUUUGAAGUGCUGGGAGGAGCGGCUAAGGGUAAAACCUGGAAUGGGGUUGCAGUAGCAGUUUGUAGUGGGCUUAGCUGUAACAGGCAGCUGUGCCUGCAACUGCUGCGUGAGAUGGCAGGGAAGGUCAGGGCUGCUUUCUCUCCUGCCUUUACAGCCUCAGUGGGAAGACUUUCUUUUUGAAAUUCUUUAAAUGCUAUUGUUGGAAAAUUCUUGGAUUGGGACAGGUUGCGAGAACUAUAGAUUUAAAAAUAUCCCUUCCCAUAAAGACGGGACAAAUACAGGGCCCCUGUUGAAUGCUCCUUGGCUGCCUGAGAUUUGAUCUGGUAGUGAAAUACAAACUGCUGCUGUUUGUGGUGAGAAAGAUUCACCUCCACUGAGUGGUGGCAAGGGGGUCAAACUCCUUUGCAUAAAGUACGUGCUAGAAAAGAGCUCUCAGGGGUCUCGUCUGCAAAUUUGCUUGAACCUGGAAAGUCUCCUUCCUGAUGCCACGUAUGGGACAUGAUGAACUCACUCCAGCAGUGGAACUACUGAUGGGAUGGGAGUUCUGCAACCAGGCUGGAUAGAAGUCACUGUGCUUCCUAUUGUACAGCACUCCUCUGAAGCCUCCUGUUGCAUACAGCAUACUACUGUGAAUGAAAUUGCCUGAUAUGGCUCAAAGCAAGUGUUUUCAUAGAUGAAAUCUGAUGUGAGAUGACUCCAGUGCACUUGCCAGCAGUGAAACUAGGCAAAAUGUAGUGACUCUGGUUUUUGGGGUAGCACUUGGCACACUGGUAAACGGUUAUGGAAAAUAUUUGUAUGCUGUUUUUGGGGAAGGUUUGAAUCUGAGGGAGAUAAUUGACACCAUUAUAUUAAGCUGUGGAAAAUAAACUUCCCUUUAGUGAUUGCUGCCAAUAAAGGUGAUUAAGAGCAGUUUACCCACCAGCUAAUAAGAAGGUGACAUUAUAAUGCCUGACUUUGUUCUGUGUUGGGAAACCUUCAGCCUGCUUUUCCCUUCAGGAAAAAGCUUUCUUUUCAUUAGUUCUAAAUCAGCAGUUUAUCAAAUGUUGGCCUACUUCAGGCACUGAGGGGAAUUCUUUGCUGUCUUUGAGCACUUUUGGGGAGAGGUGGGGGGGGGGGGCAAAGGAGAGAAAGUUGUAUUACAUUUACUCCCUAUCUGAAUUUCUUUAACUAUUCCCUGCCCUCGUGUAAGUGAGUUUGUAAGCUGUGUGUACGCAUUGCCUACCAUCAUGAGAUGAUGCUUUGGCUCUGUUCCUGAUGGGCAGGUGAUAGUGCUACAUGUCGCAUCUCUGAAUUACUACUUGGAUUUCUCAACUGCCCUUAAUCCUGUCCCUUAUUAUUCACUCAUAAGGGUCUGACAGUUGGCUGUUAUUAGUGUCACCCUGUUUAUUUCCUGCUGCUCUUUAGCUUCCUACAUCUACCUUUCUUAAUGAAUGCAGAAAGCAUCAAGAAUUGAGUAGCAAAAAGCUGAAUAUUUGUGGAGCCUUUCUAUUCUCCUGAGUUAUGUGAAGGGUUCUGUCCUUGAAAUAUUUAUUAAUACCUGUAGUACCUUGCUUUGCCAUUUAACUACUCAAAUUCUAGGGUAAAUACAUAGUAAUAUAGGCCUAAGAAUCUCAGAAGAGGUGAUCUGGAAUCAUCCCAGAGCUGUCUCUCAAUCUUCACUGAUAAAUGCUGAACAUCCUUAUUUUCUGGGAAGGUAUGGGUCAGUGCCAUGGCAGAAGUGAAAGCAAAUGGUCCCAGAACAGGAUUUUGAGGGUAUUGUAUUUUAUCAGACCAAUGCUAUAUGUAAAUCUCUGGUUGGGACAAGGAGUUAGUUGCCUAGAUUCUCUUUUGUGUUGACUGUGUGGGUUGUCUUAGCCGGCAUUGCAUAGGCAAGAAUUAAAACCUCUAUUCCAUUUAGCAUGUUGUUGAUUUGUGACCAUCAGGAUGCUUUGAUUUGAUGCCAAGGAUGGCUCCUACUUAUUUAUUACAAGAGAGAAGUUGGUCACUCUUCAUAUUAUUAUUAUUAUUAAAUAUCCUUUUAACUACAUGGAGUGUAGAGAAGCAAGAAUGCAUGGCUGGUUUAGUGACUUUGCUGUGCGUAGCUGAAAGACUAAUGCAUUAUUGUCACACCACUUCCUAACAGUAGGAAAACUGUAGUCUGCCCCAAUGUUGUUACAGUGGCAUACAUGCAUUGACUGUGUUUUUUGUCUGCCCCUCUGGGCCACAGGGGUGCACAUGCUGUUUCAGUGUGGUAACAAAGCUGCUCUUGGGCAGGAAUGGGUGCUCCUGCAUUGCCCAAAACUGUGCAGGCAAAGCAGAUAUUAUCAGUGCUGGCCCUGGGGCAUAAAAUAGAAAGAUCAAAGCGCAUGGCAGCAGCACACAGAGGCUCUUCAAAGCCUGAGUAAGGCAGGAUUGAUAGAGAAUGAGAAAGCUCUUGCUGAUGUAAUCACAGCCUGUGAGACAGGUUGUGUUGUGCUUUUUUUUUUCUAAUUUAAACAAAGACACAAAGAGGGUCCUUGUUUGUUUAGAGAGGUGAAGCGUGUGCCACAGAUGUAGGGCACGGAUACCUGAGUAUUUAGAAGCUGGCCGUGGGUAGCAUGGAGCCCAGGCUUUUGGAAAUAACUGCAAACUCACAGCUUUGCUUUUUAUUGUGUGCAGCUCCUGCAUGUGGUGUUCUCCCACUUGUGGUGUCCAUGUGGGAUCAAAUAGGAGAAUGGUAACAGGAGGAAUGCUCGUGUUCAGACUGCCUUCAUUAUUAGAAUGGAAACUAUUUUGUUUUCUCUCAAACUCCCCAUUAAAACGCUUUUGGAUUUCUUUUUAAAAGAGCACAGGCAAGGUGGAAUCGGGGAAAGUGAUAAGCCUGGUUCCAUGUCAAGCAGCACAGGCUUGUCCAGGCACAAACUAUGAGGGAGGAAGAAAGUUUGCUCCCCCUUUGUUUAUGCUGAAAGGAGGAAGGAGAGGUGUGACUUCACUGGAGCAGAUGGGUAGGGAUGGAAGGUGUUCCCCAUUUGCUCCUCUGCGAACUUCAAUUCUCUUUAUAUGCUGUGGCUGCAGAAGUGCCACAGUGCUGUUUCUGAACUUCCAUUUGGAUUGUAAAGGUGAAGGAUAGAAAAUGGCUUUACAAAGGGGAUCUUGUGAAAUUGUGACCUAGAGCAUGAUAGCGUGGCUCUUCCACCCAAAGAUAUCUGUACAGUGUAUGGUGGAUGAUGAGCAGUGCAGUCUGACAUGCAAAGACUUGGUGGGCAUGACACAAUGGGCACGUAUUACCAGAAACACAACCUAUAUUAGCUGGUAUAGCUACAUUGAUUUCUUGUAAAGGUUUGAAACUCAGGCAAAACGAGCUCACCUGCUUGGAGAGUGGGUAAAGCCUCCAUGCAUGUGUCUGCUCUUGGUAUAGACUGUGUGUGUGUGUGAACUGCCUGAACACGUCCCAUGGGAGGGACAGCUGUUCUUGUUGGUUUCUGGAGACCUGUUAAAAAUUCUGAAACCGAAAACUCGUUUCACCAUUCUGCAUUGUUUUGCAUACUGAUUGUUUUAGAAGAAAGAUCUAAUGGUAUUAUCUUGGUCCCAAAACUUAUUGCAAGAUGCUGGAAACCACAGUGAUUAUUUCUAGUUGGCAGAACCUCCAGCUUUCCUUCCCCUGUGGCCAUGAGAUUAUUUACAGUGCAAUUCAGAUUAGUGCCCAAAAUUGUGGCACUCUUAAGUCUGAAAAUCUAUCAUGGUGGAAAGGAGGGCUGUUAAUGUUUCUUUCCAGGGUCAAAGCUAUGUUUAUAGUCUGCUAAAUCAGUUUACUAUCUUAAUAACGAGGCCUGGCUCACAUUGAUGCAUCUUCACUGUGAAGUAUCUGAGAUGAUAGUGGUGUUCCUGGUGUUCUCCUAUGGAAGUCUCUCCAUUUUGCUGCCCAAUGCUGAAACUUCUUCCCCUCCUUCCAUUGAACCUUCUCUUCUGCUAUGCUCUUCCACAGAUGUCUGUUUGAUACCUGACACUAGCAAAGGAACUUCAAUACAAUUGAAAUACACUACUUUGGUUUCCAGUUACCAAACCUUCAGGCACCAGGAAAUCUGUGCAUCUUCUAGAGCUCUGAGAUGGGCUCUGACAUGCACUCAAUGCUGCAGGCACUUCCCCUCAUGAUGCAGAGAGGCUUGAGAGAAGUUCUGGGAUGGGAAUUCUAGCAGUUACUGUGACUUUCUAGGAACUCAUGUAUCCACUUAAAAAGAAAAAUAUUUCCUUCUGGGGAAUCCCAAUGAGAUUCUCACUCUGUGCUGGUAUGGCCUCACCUUGAGUACUGUGUGCAGUUUUGGGCACCACAGUGUAAGAAAGGUGUAAGACUUCAGAGUGUCCAAAGAGGACAACGAAGAUAGGGGUCUGGAGGGCAAGAUGGAUGUGGCUGUGGUCCUUCAGUUUGUUCUUCCUGGAGUAGAGAUGGCUGAGGGGAGGCCUCACAGGGAGUGAGGGAAGUGCUGAGCUCUGGUGACUGACAGGGCUCAAGGGAAUGGCAUGGAGUUGGGUCAGGUGGGGGUUAAGGAAAGGAUCCCCUCCAGAGGGCAGUGGGCACAGCCAUGAGCUGCCAGAGCUCAAGAAGCAUUGGGACACUGCUCUCAAAUAUAGGGUUUGGGCAGUCCUGUGUGGGGCAGUGGGUUGGACUCAAUCAUCCUUGUGGGUCAUUCCCAACUCAGGACAUCCUGUGAUUCUAAGAGGUUGUGGUGAUCUGGUCUGUUGAAAUAGAGAAGAGUUGGUAAAACAGAAGUUUUUCUACCUGUAGGAGAAAAUGCAUCGCAGUGUACAAGCAUUAUUAUGGCAUCCCCAUGGUUUUGCUUUUAGAGAGCAAUAGGAUGAAAACAAGAUAUGUUAGCUGAUUCCUGUGUGCUCCACUGAGUUUGGUCUCCCACUUCUGUCAGCAGUAUCUGUGGCCUUUUGAUUCAUGCAGCCACAUGAAUUAACACAACUGCCAUACCAAGUUAGCCUAAAAAUUAAUCUGCUCCAGUGACUUUCUCAGGCAGAAUCUAGUUGUGGAUACUCAAUAAAAGAAUAUAAGAUUAAAGGAAGCACAUAGGGAGAAUUCUGCAGCAUAUGCUUCCAGGCUCUACUGGCUUGUACCUUAGGACUUCCUAGUAGCAUCAGCUAAUACAUACAAGCACUAGAUGGCUAUUUCAUCCACACUUUUUUCCACAGUGUUUCAUGCAUUGCUUAUCUGACUUUGAGGCAGCGAGAUCCUGCUUUUGAGAGCCUUUUCAACCAUUUCAUGCUAUGACAUCAUGUAUUUUUGAAAAGUAAAGGAGUCUGAGUUGGUGCAUUGCAGUGUAGGAGGCCUAGAACAGCAGCUUAGUUAGCACCUAGUUAAACUGCUCACUAACACGAAUGGAAGGAAGAGGACUAGAUUUCCAGAAUUGUCUCAUUCUUACUGGUCAGUGCAAGUUUCAUAGGUUUCUUUUUUUGAGCUACAGAUGAAAAUGUGUUGCCAGGAAGUCGUUGUUCUUUCUGUCUUUCUAAUUCUGUGCAGCAGCUGCAUCGUCUUUAGCUGCUAUUAAUGUUCAGAGCUCUUUGAACAAGGGAGUGUUAGGCUGAUGUAAAAUCUUCCUCUGCAAGACAUUCCCUGUGAAGCAUCUCUUGUCUCGAUGGCCCUAUUGUAACCAUGCCUGUAUUUGUGAAUGAACAGGAAGCGGUUGAUGAUAGUGAGCAGAUGAGUUUGAUCUGCAACAGGUUUUACUCAGACUUCCACUUGAGGGAGUUAAUGUAGGAGCUGAGCUGUACCACUGUCAACUGCAGUCUGAUCAUUUACGCUUCCUUUGUUUGAAGAAGCUGGAAGAAUGUAUUGAUGAGAGAGAAGAUGUGCUAAACUUCUCUAGAUUUUAAUUGAGAUAUGACACUGUAGAUAGAAAUUUUGUUAGUCACUCCAUUCUGAAGUAAUGAGCUCAGUCAUGUUUGAUUACAGAUCACAUUCUGUCACUUGUUGUCCUGUUUGUGUCUAAACAGAUUCAUGCACAUCCAAAAAAUACUAUGGGAGGUAACUUAAUGGUACCUCAUGUAGCAGUGAUCAGUGGAUAGGAAGAGGGAGGACUUCUUUCCAACAGCUCUCCUCCCAUGCAUGUACUUUAAAGCCUAUUACUUUAGGCUGAUGAAACACAUCCUUAAAGCCUGCCAUGAACAGCAUUAAACGUUGUGGAGGUCUUGUCCUUACUCUUCUCAAUUGGCAGUGUAGAAAGUGGAGUUAUCAGCCAAGUAGCAGCAUAUAUGUAUCCACGGUGCACAAUAUUAAGUUCCAGCACAGCAAGCUAAUUUAGAAAGUUUAUUUAUUGAAAGAUGAUGUGAUCUUGCACAGGAAGCUUUUGUUAGUCUGAGUGUGUGAAAUAGCAAGCUGGAUGCUUGUACUGGAGCUAACAAGAAAGGAUGGUGGGAGUAAAGGGCUCAUGCCUUAACACUGAAAAACCUCACGCUCCUGGGCCUGGAACUGCACCCAAUUCUGGCAGUAAGAGCUAUGGAUUUGAAGUCAAGUACUAAACUAACGUAGUAUAGUUCUAGAGUAAAAUUUCAUGAUGGUGUUGGAAUCAUUAGGUAAGGAGCAGAGUGAAAUGAAAUCUCAUGGGUACUUCCAGCCUCCAAGUGCCUGCAUGUUGCGUGCUGCUCAAGUCAGUGCAUCCUAAAAUUGGAAUGGAAGACUUUUUAUUAAAAAAGCUGGCAAAUCACACCUUAUGACUUGCCUUAUGAUGCAAGGUAAGACUUUAAAUGAGGUCUGAUGUAGAGAUGGUGACUAAGGAGCAAUUAUUGGCUAUUCCUUACAAUAUGUGGGGAUUUCCAGAGUAUAGUGAGUGAAAUUCAUGAACCAGCCUUGGCAUUAGUAAAAUCAUGUGUAAUUCUAACAUGGCAAGCUGUGUUACUGUGGGAUGGUGUUAAACUAAAAGCAUGAGUGUUGUCCAAAAUAAAUUAGGCAAAAUUAUGGAACAUGAAUGUAUUGCUCAGUACUAAACCCAAUGCUCUUGGUGAGGUCUUAGUGCUGGAAAUCUGUUAGUCAUCGGUAGCCUUAAUUAAGAACCAUCAAUUUUGCCUUUUUUCUAGACUAAUGCAGUUGGUCAUUGUUGGAGGUAGGAUGCUUUGGUUGGCUAUUUGGGCACACCCUCCAUGGUUGCUUUUAUAACUUCCCUAAGUUUGCAUAGGAGCUCUGUGGCAGAGGAAGCAAUCAAGCCUCUUGGGAAGCAUUCAGCUGCUUUAACCACAACAUAGUGUUUUCUUUUCCCAUAGUAACUUACCUCAUUUGCUGCAUACUGUCCAGUUCUUGUAAUGUGUGAGGGAAACAUCCUACAGACAGGACUCGUUCACCCUACAGUGCUGCAUGACUGGAGUAGAGUUUACACCAUUGAUUUCCCAUUCAGUGAGGAAUACCUCAGUGGUGAGGAGUGCCAACAAUUGAUGCACAGCACUAAACACAGUCCAGUAAGCUCUACUGGGCUUGUUAGAGUGGGCCAUAUGCCAGUGCUACAGGAGUUGGCUUAAAAGAAGGGUUGUGUGGAAGAGAGGAAAUUAAGGGGUAGUCUGAAAGAGAUUAGUCCCCCAUUAAUGGCCACUGGGAGAAGGAAUCUAGCAAGAGAUGGGGAAGGAAGGAAAAUUGCAGCUAGCCUGGUUGUUUGCUCUGCAAAAUGGAUCAAAUUGAGGUUAAGAGGAAAGUUUCAUGAUCAGAUAAAUGGCGAUGUUUGCAGUGAGUAUUUCAGCAGUUGGCUAUGUUAGAAUUAAGAACAGCUUAUUCCAAAGUUAUUCUUCCUUGCUUCCUACUACAGAACGUUCUUCAGAAGUGGGUUAACAUAGAGCUAAUCUCAUUCAAAAUGGUUGCCAGUUGGAACAAAAGGACUGAAGCCACAGGCUGCCAUCAGGUGGCUGUUCUUAAGAAGGGCAUUUUUCUUCCUGCAGAUUGAAAUGCUUCUUCCUGUGUGGUGACAUAGAAGGUCUCAGUGUUCUCUAAAUUCUUAUGUGAUACCCUGAAAACAGUGCAGUUAUUCAUGAUUUUAUCUGAAUUGGAGAAGCCAGUGCAGCAGGUAUUUUUGUGUGCAGGAAAAUAGUACUAUUGAUCUGGAAGCUGUUUUCAGGAACAGCUCUUUGUACCAUGUUUAUGUGCCAUAACACUGAGCACUUUUCCUUUUUCCCCCCAAGUAUUCCACUUCUUUCUGUGUAGGGACUCAUUUUCCCUCUGCUGUGAAUGGGGAAGUUAAGCAAAAGGAAGGAAUGCUUUUUUAUGUAGUCUGACAGGGAAAUGACUAAUCUGGAGCAGUAAUCCAGUUACCUCCAUCUUCUGUUAGGAUUAGAUCCAGUGAGUAGGCCUAUCUGUUCUUCCUAUCAUAGAACAAAGGCAAAUCUCUUCCUUUUCCUACACCUGAGCCUCCUCAAGUAAUUAUAGCAGAGGCUUUUACUUCAUCUCUACUUCCAUUUUUAAGUAGGUCAGGGAGAUUAUGUUGGUAUCAAUGAUGGCAUUGGAUCUGACUAAACAACUGUAUUUAAAGCUAGAUGCAAUGGCUUCAAACUAAAAGAGGAGACAUUAGAUAUAAGGAGGUCCUUACCCUGAGGGCAGUGAGGUGCUGGCACAGGGUGCCCAGGGAGGUGAUGGGAUUUGCAAUAGAUGGGGUCUGAAGAGGCCUGGGUGGUCAUUUGUAGCAGGGGAGUGAAGGAAGACUUGACUGGAUGUAGUGCGAAUAGCUUUAUAUUGAGAGGAGUAAAUGAGGUUUCUUAAAAGUAAUGCAAUGUAAUCUGUUUGAGGUAUAAAACUGAGUAAAUAGGCAAUGUUGAAAAGCCCAAAUAUUAAACUUGUUUUCAAUCUCUUAAAACCCUCCAGUGGUGACAGACUAUUGGGUACUGAAUUUGUCUGCUGACAACAGGCUUUUUUUUCCAGUCAGCAUUUACAUGUCACUUCUUGAUAGAGACAACACUGUACUAAUUUAAAGUGCCUUCUGAUGGUGGAAGGCAUUGGUAUCUUUGAUGUAUGGGAACUUAGGAUGGCUUCUUCUGAGACCCAGGCUGAAGGAACUUAUUUUACCUACAGAUUGUAUGGUUUAUAGGAUCUCAAAAGAGCAUUUGUGUUCUUCACAAUGAAGGUGGUCAAACAUUAGAGCAGGCUGCCCGGGGAAGUGGUGAAGUCCCAUGUCUGGAGGUAUUUAAGGAGGACAUGGAUGUGGCAUUCAGGGAUGUGGUUCAGUGAGGGGACUCUUUCAUCAGGUUGAUGGCUGUGCUUGAUAAUCUUGAAGAUCUUUUUCAACUUCAAUGUGAUCUGAAGCUUAAUUCAUGGGCUGACCGAAGAGAUAGGGUGCAUCUGUAGGGAAUUAACAGUUGUGUUUUUGAGAGCUUUUCCAUGUCGACUAACAGAGGUGCAGCUAUAAUAUCUUCUGCUUCCUGGGUGGUUCUACCAGACUGAUUACCACAGUGAUCAAAGUCAAGAACUUACUAAAUACUAAAACUUUCAUUUCCAUUCACUUCUGUGUUGGACACCUGAGUAUUUGUUCAGACCAUGUAACUCUGCCAUGGGUAUUUUCACUCAAGCUACUGUUGUUUGUUGAUGCCAACCAAAACUUCAUGUUGCUCUGUCUAAAAUGUGUAGUGUAGAAGACUCUGUCCUUCAGCAAGUGUCAUCUGCUUCUGUGUUUUGAGAGGGAUUCUGGGAAUGAAUUGGGAGGUAAAUACCAUGGAAUUAUUUUCUAUCCAACAUGCUUUGGCUAAUAUUUGAAGACAGUUCUUUACUGUGGGACACUGUGCCAAGCUCAAACCAAAGAUAUGUUCUCAUUUUCUGUGAGAAGUAAUGUAACUGCAGCUGGCUGUAUGUCCUCUGCUGUACCUUCUCCUUGUUCCACUUCUAAUCAGUGAACUGAAGUCUUAAUGUUGAAUUGAACAGAAAGUCCACCCUAUGCACUGCUGUCUGCCUGCUUCUCCCUUCUGCUGCUGUUAAUCAACAGGAUGUGUCCUGAUGAGUCUAAACAGCAUUUCAGCUAUCUGAAAUGCAAAACAGGGUGGAUAGACGGAUGCAAACAUCAUCCUCUUUCUCUUUUGUGCUUUCCCUGUUGCAAAGAGCAAGGCUACCCAUUUGAUACUUCUGGCUAGAGCAGCUCCAGUACUGUCCUCCAUCUCUGAAUUUCAUUGCAGCCCCAGGGGAAGCUGCACCUCUGUGGCUCUCUGGCAGCUGCUGGACUUUGAUGGGGACAUGCCUGCACUCUUUCCACUGGCCUCCCUUGGCAACCAGCCCUUUGAAGAUGACCUCUUGCUGUUUGCCUGUUGUCUCUCAUGUGUUGGAUUAUAGAUGAGAGGUUGGCAUGAGGGGUGGGGGAUGGGAUGGGGUGUUGUGCGUUUUAAGCCUCUUUUGUUUCUGCAUUCUCAACCUUUUUUUUUCCUCUGUGGCUUUUACCUCUGUAUAUGGCUAAAAUGUUGCCAUGCAUACAGAAAGCGGCUUCUGGCAGAAACGCGUGGAUCCUGCUUGGUGUUUGUGCAUAAGACAAAGGGAGUUUGAGUUUUGUGAUGAGGACAGUGCAUUCUUCCUGUAAGAAUCUAUUCCUAUAAGCUCCUUUCCUCACACACCCCAUUUUUAAGGACAGUGCUUCUUAAUUGUAAAGCAGCCUUUCUGUGUCUACAUGUUCUGUGCUCCUCUUCCCUCCCUCCAGCCACAGUGAAUGCAUUCUGUCAGUGACAGUGCAAAUAUAUCACCUUCUUAAUGGAGGUUAUGGUCUAAAAUGGAAAGAGACUGGAGCCCUGUGACUGUGCUGCAUUUCAGACAGUGCCAACUUCUGGAAGUCCAAACAACUGAACACUGCUAAAUACUGACCAAAUCCUUCAUUGGAGUGGAAGGAGGACUGAAGGAUAAGAAGUAUUGUGGAUUGAACAAAGCAGGAGUGUCCAACUCCAUAGUGAAAUGUUAACAAGUGAGUCGUCCUACCACAGAGCAUUGGAGCUGUUUACACAUCUUACCAUCUCUGUCAUGUUUUCUCAAUGAUCAGACCAUUUUAACCUGUAUCAGCACUCAAUAUGAGAUUUUUGGGCACAGAGAAUGAAAUGGUAGUUGACAUCUGCCAUUGAAUGCCGAUGAAUAAUGUCAGGGAUGAUGCACAUUUCUUCAUGUUUGCUGCAAAAUGUCUUGCACGUAACUGGGUGUGCCUGUGAAUGCAGUGUGAUGCCUGAAUGCGGCAUAGCACCUAAAAUCAGGGCAGGAUGUUGGAGUGGCUUUGAUCUCUACAUGUAACUAGUUCAUCCUUACCUGGAAUGCUUCUUGACUGGAUGCCCUAGUGCUGUCAUCUCUUCAGGAAACCCAGCCUCCUUUCACCUCAAUUAGGAGUAGUAAUCAAAGACGUAAAGUAAUAAAGGUAACAGAUUAUUUCCUGGACAUGAGACUUUAAUGAGACAAGUGCAGGGAUGAUUGUAUUCCCUCUGCUGCUUCUCAAGGAAAUAAACAUUGUCUUUAUUGAACCUACUACCUUCAUGUAAUUGUCUUAUUCUUAUACAUGGCCUACUUUCAUUCAGGUUGCAGGCUUAAACCUUGUUCUUUGUGUUCUAGGAGCUGCUGGUGUGGAUAAUGCAGGUGUGCCUGGACUUUGGGUAGUAGGCCGCACCAGCUUGGUUUGUCUGUGCCAAGUGUGCAGUAAGAAAAACUGAUGCUUGUUAAGUGUUCAAGUGCUUUGAUUGGGGAAUGGGCUGAUGCACAGAAGGAUUUUUUUUCUGGGUCGAGAGUAAGAAUAUGCAGAUGAAUAGCUAAUUAAUGUUGGAGUUGAACAAACUAAUCCUUUCUUUUUUUGACUGGAGUAAGAUGAAACUAACCAGCAGGCUCGCUGUUGAGAAGACAGGACUUUGUGACCGAUCAGUUCUAUCUUUAGCUUCUCUGGUCACACAAACAGACUAGAAAAGGAAGGAGAAGAAAAGGGAGUCUUGUGCAGCCUGAAAUAAUUGCUGUGCAAUUAUCAACUAGUGAAACAGCAUAAGCUUUGUUCUAGCUACCCUUCCAGUCCAUACAUGAGUUAAAAGUCUCUCCUAAGUAAAACCAUUAGCUUCUAAAUAAACUCUUAGCUUCUUUAGAUCAAAUUGUCUUGUAUAUAUUCCAUAAACAUGCAUUAACCUGCCUUAUUCACGUCUGGAAAUUUCUUCUAGGAUUCCUUGUAUGAACAGUUCUGAUGAACUGUAUUUUAUUUCUUUUCUGCUGUAUGGUGAUACUUAUUCUUUCCAGGCACUGAGUAAUCUCUGGGAUUGAACAGAUAGAUCCCAUUCUGUUGUGCAGUGUUAGUCUGGAUCUCUUCAUACUACUCCAUUUCUGUGAGAAAACUUGCUUAUGAAAUACUUGAAGCUCCAUAUGAGGCCUUUAAAUUAAACUUAAGUGAUUAAAUGACACUAAUCUGAUACUGGCAGUUCUGAGUCCCCACUGAGUGCUGUGGAACAAAUGGAUUACCUUACAUCUCAUGAACUACUACUUUUUCCCAGCCAAUUAUGACUCUGUUUAAAGUUCUGGCCAUUAGUUUAUUUUUUUUGAGGAUUGCUGUAUUCUGGGUAGUUUCAGAACUCUUAUUUUACUUUAUACCUACUGGCAGCGUUCUCUUGCCAAAAUGGUCUAUGAAGAUACUGUUUUACUUCUGAUUUGACUUCUUUUUCCAUCUUCAGUGGCGUUGUGCCUGCAUCUUUUGCCAGCAUCUUUCUGCACGUUUAAAGGGGAAAAGCAUACUGCAAUCAUGACUUUGUUCCCUGUUAGCUGUCAGUACUGCUGCAGGGAAAUGUGGUGUCUUAAAUUCUUGAGAGAAGAAAUCUACCCUCAAAUUUAUCUCAGAUACUUGCAUUCCUUCAGAGAGUCUCAAAUGCAUAAUUCCAGGAAGAGAUGCAAGUCCAGGUUUCUGUUAGAGCAGUCUGUAAGCUUCCCUUGCAAGGGAAACUUAGGAUAUUUCGUGUCCAGCUGCUUUGUUGCAAUAAAUUGCUCAGCUACACUUGAUUUCUGCCUGUGCAGCAAAUCUAAUGCAUAUGUGCUGCAAUUACAU